rnacentral:rRNA from 1 species
UACGUAGGGUCCGAGCGUUGUCCGGAAUUAUUGGGCGUAAAGGGCUCGUAGGCGGUCUGUCGCGUCGGGAGUGAAAACUUACAGCUUAACUGUGAGCGUGCUUCCGAUACGGGCAGACUUGAGGUAUUCAGGGGAGAACGGAAUUCCUGGUGUAGCGGUGAAAUGCGCAGAUAUCAGGAGGAACACCGGUGGCGAAGGCGGGUCUCUGGGCCGAUAUUGACGCUGAGGAGCGAAAGCGUGGGGAGCGAACAGG